GAUUAGAUACCCUGGUAGUCCACGCCGUNAACGAUGUCGACUUGGAGGUUGUGCCCUUGAGGCGUGGCUUCCGGAGCUAACGCGUUAAGUCGACCGCCUGGGGAGUACGGCCGCAAGGUUAAAACUCAAAUGAAUUGACGGGGGCCCGCACAAGCGGUGGAGCAUGUGGUUUAAUUCGAUGCAACGCGAAGAACCUUACCUACUCUUGACAUCCACGNGAACUUANCCAGAGAUGCNUUGGUGCCUUCGGGAACUCUGAGACAGGUGCUGCAUGGCUGUCGUCAGCUCGUGUUGUGAAAUGUUGGGUUAAGUCCCGCAACGAGCGCAACCCUUAUCCUUUGUUGCCAGCGGUCCGGCCGGGAACUCAAAGGAGACUGCCAGUGAUAAACUGGAGGAAGGUGGGGAUGACGUCAAGUCAUCAUGGCCCUUACGAGUAGGGCUACACACGUGCUACAAUGGCAUAUACAAAGAGAAGCGACCUCGCGAGAGCAAGCGGACCUCAUAAAGUAUGUCGUAGUCCGGAUUGGAGUCUGCAACUCGACUCCAUGAAGUCGGAAUCGCUAGUAAUCGUGGAUCAGAAUGCCACGGUGAAUACGUUCCCGGGCCUUGUACACACCGCCCGUCACACCAUGGGAGUGGNUUGCAAAAGAAGUAGGUAGCUUAACCUUCGGGAGGGCGCUUACCACUUUGUGAUUCAUGACUGGGGUGAAGUCGUAACAAGGUAACCGUAG
rnacentral:rRNA from 1 species